rnacentral:rRNA from 1 species
GACGAACGCAGGCGGCGUGCUUAACACAUGCAAGUCGAGCGGAAAGGCCCUUCGGGGUACUCGAGCGGCGAACGGGUGAGUAACACGUGAGUAACCUGCCCCAGACUUUGGGAUAACCCUCGGAAACGGGGGCUAAUACCGGAUACGACACAGCUUCGCAUGGGGUCUGUGUGGAAAGUUUUUCGGUUUGGGAUGGGCUCGCGGCCUAUCAGCUUGUUGGUGGGGUGAUGGCCUACCAAGGCGACGACGGGUAGCCGGCCUGAGAGGGCGACCGGCCACACUGGGACUGAGACACGGCCCAGACUCCUACGGGAGGCAGCAGUGGGGAAUAUUGCACAAUGGGCGGAAGCCUGAUGCAGCGACGCCGCGUGAGGGAUGACGGCCUUCGGGUUGUAAACCUCUUUCAGCAGGGACGAAGCGUAAGUGACGGUACCUGCAGAAGAAGCGCCGGCCAACUACGUG